rnacentral:rRNA from 1 species
AUAUCAAUAAGCGGAGGAAACGAAACUAACAAGGAUUCCCCUAGUAACUGCGAGUGAAGCGGGAAAAGCUCAAAUUUGAAAUCUGGCAGCUUCGCUGUCCGAGUUGUAGUCUCGAGAAGCAUUUUCCGCGCCGAAGCAUGUAUGAGUCUGUUGGAAUACAGCGUCACAGAGGGUGAGAACCCCGUUCAUGACAUGCCUUUCGGUGCUUUGUGAUAUGCUUUCGAUGAGUCGAGUUGUUUGGGAAUGCAGCUCUAAAUGGGUGGUAAAUUCCAUCUAAAGCUAAAUAUUGGCGGGAGACCGAUAGCGCACAAGUA